CGUAGAUCUGCAGUAACCUGCGCUGAACACUGACGCAUCUUUCUAAAGCUGAAGACAACAUGAGGCAACCGCUUGGAAUGAAUCUAUUGGCGAUCGUUGCCACUGCAAUAGCUGUAAUUAUAAUGGCUCCAAAUGAAGCUCUUGCGCUCGGAGGAUACGUUGGCGGAAACGGAGCCAUUGAUUUUGGUCGCAAAAAGUGAUGCAACGUUUGUCUUAUGGGAACCACGUACACAGGGCAUCCAGAUAUAGCGCCACCCGUCGCGCAUUGCCGAUGCGCGUCACCUAUGGAGCUGCGCUCUUCAAUGGGCUCAGCCUGUGUGCGGCCCGGGGGAGAGGUGUUUCGGCUGCCAGGAAGGACGGACGGUGUCACCCAUGCUAUAACCGAAUCCUGCAGCACAAAAUCAUGGUCGCUGCGUAGCUGCGUCGUGUCCCUGGGCCAACCCUGCCAUGUACCGUAUUUAGUUUAAUAAAUUGUCUUGAUUUGA